rnacentral:rRNA from 1 species
CCUACGGUGGGCAGCAGUGAGGAAUAUUGGUCAAUGGGCGCGAGCCUGAACCAGCCAAGUAGCGUGAAGGAUGACUGCUCUACGGGUUGUAAACUUAUUUUAUAAAGGAUUAAAGUGAGGCACGUGUGCCUUUUUGUAUGUACUUUAUGAAUAAGGAUCGGCUAACUCCGUGCCAGCAGCCGCGGUACUACGGAGGUUCCGAGCGUUAUCCGGAUUUAUUGGGUUUAAAGGGAGCGUAGAUGGGUUGUUUGGUCAGUUGUGAAAGUUUGCGGCUCAACCGUAGAAGUGCAAUUGAUACUGGCAGUCUUGAGUACAGUUGAGGUAGGCGGAAUUCGUGGUGUAGCGGUGAAAUGCUUAGAUAUCACGAAGAACUCCGAUUGCGAAGGCAGCUUACUAAACUGCCACUGACAUUGAGGCUCGAAAGUGUGGGUAUCAAACAGGAUUAGAUACCCCUGUAGUC